rnacentral:rRNA from 1 species
ACGGGUGAGUAAUACAUCGGAACGUGCCCAAUCGUGGGGGAUAACGCAGCGAAAGCUGUGCUAAUACCGCAUACGAUCUACGGAUGAAAGCAGGGGAUCGCAAGACCUUGCACGAAUGGAGCGGCCGAUGGCAGAUUAGGUAGUUGGUGAGGUAAAGGCUCACCAAGCCUUCGAUCUGUAGCUGGUCUGAGAGGACGACCAGCCACACUGGGACUGAGACACGGCCCAGACUCCUACGGGAGGCAGCAGUGGGGAAUUUUGGACAAUGGGCGAAAGCCUGAUCCAGCCAUGCCGUGUGCAGGAUGAAGGCCUUCGGGUUGUAAACUGCUUUUGUACGGAACGAAACGGUCUUUUCUAAUAAAGAAGGCUAAUGACGGUACCGUAAGAAUAAGCACCGGCUAACUACGUGCCAGCAGCCGCGGUAAUACGUAGGGUGCAAGCGUUAAUCGGAAUUACUGGGCGUAAAGCGUGCGCAGGCGGUGAUGUAAGACAGUUGUGAAAUCCCCGGGCUCAACCUGGGAACUGCAUCUGUGACUGCAUCGCUGGAGUACGGCAGAGGGGGAUGGAAUUCCGCGUGUAGCAGUG